GGCCUCCCAAAGUGCUGGGAUUACAGGUAUGAGCCACUGCGCCGGGCCAGAUUAUGUGAAAUUUUAGAUAAACACAGAAGAAUUUAUGAAUGACGAUGAACAGGAAAUGGAGAAAAUUCUAAUAUCAUGCGGUACUUUGUCAGCCAGAGUCAGUGACAAUUAUUAGGCUGAUAUGUUGACUGCCAUGCCAGGGAUGAUCAAAUCUCUUACCAUCCACUGUCUGGAGGUGCCAACACCUGCUGAACUGGCUUUCCAGAUCAAUGAAUUACAGUCAGACACUGUGUAAUAAUGUUUCAGUCAGUGACAAACCGCGUAUACGACAGUGAUCCCAUGGAUUAUAACAGAGCUGAAAAAUUCCUAUAGCCUCUUGAAGUUGUAGCCAUCGUAACAUAGUGCAGUGUUUUCCUCCCAUGUUUGCGGUGAUGCUGUGAAAAUAAACCUAUUGCACUACCAGUCUUAUAAAACGGUAGCACGUAGAAUUAUGUACAGUAUUAAUGCUUGAUAAUGGCAAUAACUAUGUUGCUGGUUUAUGUAUUUACUAUACCAUAGGUUUUAUUGUUAUUUUAGAAUGUAUGUUUCUACUUAUAAAAAAGGUUAACUGUAAAACAGCCUCAGGCAGGUUGUCAGGAGUUAUUCCAGAAGAAGGCACUGUUAUCUUAGGAAGUGACAGCUCCAUGCGUGUUACUGCCCCUGAAGACCUUCCAGUGGGACAAGUUGUGGAGGUGGAAGACAGUGACACUGAUGCUCCUGACCCUGGGUAGGCCUCGGCUAAUGUGUGGGCUCAUGUUUUAAUUUUUAACAAAAAAGUUUAAAAAGUCGAAAGAGUAAAAAUUAAAUUAAAAAAGCUUAUAGGAUAAGAAUAUAAAGAAAGAAUUUUUUUUAUAGCUGGACAAUCUGUGUUUUAAACUAAGUAUUAUUACACAGUAGUCAAAAAGUAAAAAACAAAAACAAAAAAAUACUAAAACGCUCAUAGGGUAAAAAAGUUACAAUAAGCCAAGGUUAAUUUAUUACUGAGGAAAAAUAUAUUUUCUUAUAAAUUUAGUGUUGCCUAAGUGCACAGUAUUUAUAAAGUCUACGGUAGUGUACCGUAAUGUCCUAGCCUUCACAUUCACUCACCACUCACUCACUGACUCACCCAACGCCACCUCCAGUCCUGCAAGCUCCAUUAGUGGUACCUGCCCUAAACAGGUGUACCAUGUGUGUCUUUUAUACUGUAUUUUUUACUGCACUCUUUGUAUGUUUAGACAUGUUUAGAUACAAACAUACUUACCGUUGUGUUACAGUUGCCUACAGUAUUCAGUACAGUUACAUGCUGUGCAGGUUUGUAGCCCAGGAGCAGUAGGCUGUACCACAGAGCCCAGGCGUGUAGUAGGUUAUGCCAUCUAGGUUUGUGUAAGUGUACUUAGUGAUGUUCGCACAGUGAUGAAAUUACCUAACAACGCAUUUUUCAGAACAUAUUCCUAUCAUUAAGAAACACAUGAUAUUUGGCCAUGUUGGAAUGGAUUUUAGGGUCUCUAACAGUUGAGGAUAGUCUAGUUCAUGUAGAUUUGAACCUGACAAAAGUGACUUAUGAGAAAUUGCAAGAAUUCUUGGCAGGUUUCUUUUUAUGAAGAACUCCCUUUGUGCUCAUUUUGUCACCUUUACUUUUGUCACCUUUACUUUCUAUAACAAAAUAAACCAUGUUACAUGAAAUAAUUCUAUUGAAUUUUGAUUUUGAGAGAGAACUUUCACCAGUUAACACGUUGCUGAUUUUGUUUUCCUCUAAGUUUUUAGAUUAAUAUCAGAUUAGGCAAAUUAUACCAUUAGUGAUGAAACUUAAUGUGAAUGAUUGUUUCUGAGGGGAAAAACCUCGAAACAGUGAGAUUUUUACUCUCUCAGUUAAAUAAUGCAAUGCUGAUUGAUUGAGUUUUAAAAACAGUUUUUAUUUUUUAAAGCAGCAGCCGAAUUCUCUUAAGUGGAGGGAUCGCAUAGGUGUCCUGGAGCUCCACCAUGAUUCAACCAAGAUGGUGUCCUGGGUAUGGUGGAAGAAGAUGUUCUCUGGGAUGCAGACAUUUCCCUGAACAAGUCCAUCACAGAGAGCAGGAGAGUCUGGCCUCUUCAGAUGUGAGCCAUCAUUAAGUUCAAAUUCACUCCACCAUCCAUGCAAACUGUGAGAGCUGCUCCAUGGUGCCCAAAUCAGCACAUUCAGCUAGAAUCUCUUGUCACUGGAGAAGCUGUCUGAUUCUCUGAACAUGACGCAAGCCUUGCUGUCACCACCACCGUGAAGGUCAGAUACAGCACCCAAGGUACUUGCUGCAAUAGGCCUUUCUUCCCCUGCAACUGAGGUGAUAAUUGAAUCAUAAUACCACUGCACGCCUUGGGUUAUAGGAAUCCCGUUUCCCACUCAGCAUUGCAUUCAAGACAAAGGACAUACCAAGUCAACCCUAACAUCUCACAUCAGAUGUUCAUAAACGGCUCACAUUUUCUGUACUUUAUGCAUAUUUUUUUACUCAUAAAAGAGUCAAGGGGAAACAGCUUUGAAGAAGGAGCCCAAAUGAUAUUAGCGUUCAUACUUAUUUUUAGACUUCAAAAAGAUAGGUAUCUAAACCCUACUUACUGGAUAAAUGUAAGGGUGUAUUUUAGCCAUUGUAGAUUUCCUAACAGUAAUUAUUAACUAUACAACCAUACAAACUCAUUAUUAAGUACUUAGUGUGCUUUUGACAUCAGCUCCAUCUCGAUUUCUUUGAAUUGCAUGAGCUGUUUUGUAGGACAGUACACAUCUGUCCUGGAAGUGUCCCAGAGAGCCAGCAAACCCCUCACCUGCUGGACUGUGGCUGUGUUGGGAACCUGUCUACGUUUAAAACUCCAAUGCUUUGACUGAGUGGUAUUGGCUGGAUAAAAUCUGUGGUCUUUGUGAGCUCUACAAGGGCAAAGCUGGUUAACUUGUUCAUUUCAAAGGAGUAAUCUUAAUAUUGUUAAUGUGGCUUGUGGCAUCAAGGUUAUUAGAAUUUAAGGACUUAAUAGAUUUCUCCAUCUACUACAUCAAUGGUAAUUGUAGAAAUUAGCUAAAAUGCACUACUGCUUAAAUGCAAUGGAAAAAUAUUUCUUUCUUCCUUUCAAGACUUUAAGAGGUCUGAAAUGUUUCUGUCCAGGCCCUUGCGCCUCUGCCACCGCUGUGAGAAGUACAUAUCCUGGCCAGCCUGCUGACUCAGGAGGUUGAGAAUCAGGUGCAGCAGACCAGAGCACUGCUUCAGUGUCAGGGUAGAGCUGCUCCAUGACCCAGAGAUUCAUACGAGCCAUCCCACCACACUCGUCCCACCUGGCUUGUGUCAAUGUUCCAUUACUGUUCACCGGCUGCCCACGCACCUCCAGCUCCACAUCAGGGGACAGCACCUGACAGAUGCCUGCCUUGGAGGCUGGGGCUGCCACAACAAAGAACCACAGCCUGGGGGCUUAAACACAGACGUGCAUUUCCUCACAGUGCUGGAGGCUGGAAGUCCAAGAUCAAGUGUGUCCUAGAGUGCAUGAAAGAAGCUGGAGAAAAAUCACCAUGGAGUUUAUCCUGGUUUUGCCUCUCAUGGAAAGAAGAGAGACAACUGAAGCCUCAAUCCAGGUAAAGAAGCAUUCUUGCAAGCCCAUCCAUGUAAAGUGUAUGAAAAGUGGGCCUUUUCCCUGAAAUUAUCCAGAUCCUGAUUUCAUUUACAUUUUGUUUUAUGAUUUUGGGGAAAUUCCAUCAGUAACCUAACAGGUUUAUUUCCUAUCUUUAGGAAAUAAAUAUACAGAUAGUAAAUUGUGCAGUUCGUAUCUGCAGAGCUUUCAUUCUUGGUCAUCUUUUUAUAACAUCUUAUCAAAGAUAACUGCAACAAACAGGUCUGGGGACAAGAACAGGGAAGCACAAGACCAGUUUCAUUGCAGCUAUAAAAAUAACCCUUUGUUUCCCAUUGUACUUUACAAGCAGGCGGCACUCUGCGUGUCCUGGAAAGGUUGGGUCUGCUGACCUUGGAGGGUUUUUUAUGAUCAGUAAGGAGCAGGGACAUAUGGCCCCAGGUGAAACCUUGGGUGAGUUGGGCCGUCCAUACAAGGCUCAUGAGACAAGUCAUCUCACUUGGGCCUUUCAGGGUCCGGUGAAAUGAGUAUAAUCCCCUCACUUUACAGACCAACAAACUGAGGUUCAAAGAGGCUAAUAAACUGGCCCAACGAUGUACAAUGAGUAAGUAAGUGGUUAUGUCACUUCACAUGUUUAGCCUUUCCCAGUCUCAUCUGUCAAAGGGUCUGUAAGAUUCUCUUCAAAACUCGCACAACCCCACCCCUCUGGGAAGGCACCAGAAAGCCUGAGCCAGCUCUCCUGGGAGGCUGCAGGGCAGUGAGUGUGCCUGCAUCCAGUGGCAGCAGUGCACACAGGGAGCGAGCAGCACCAGGCACUUCUCCCUCCAUGGCAGGGUCUACACGUCCCCCAGUGCACAUCUCAAGCUCAUACGAUACACUCUGCCAAGUCCAUUUUGAAUUCCAUGGCCUGAAUCAUUAACUUUCAAAGCCAAAGCAUUUAAAAGAUAAAAUUAUCCUCUUGGCACUCCUCAAACUGUGCUCUUGACCUCUUCUGUUAGGCUACAGUUUUGUUUCUGGCUGUGCAAAUGUCACAUAAUGCCACUGCACCCGGCAGUAUCUUCUUCAUAGCAACAGAUCAUAAUAAAAGUCCCUCGGAGGCUGUUUGUGUUUCACAUACACAUGGAAUGAAAGAAAAAUGCAGUGUGCUAUAUAAAGCGAGAGAAAUGCAUAAGCUUCAUCUUUCAUUUGCAGCCAAUUGGUUUUAAUAAGCUUUUAUGCUGAGAGGUGAAUAAUUAGCAUAUGUUCUUAAUUAAGAUUGUUCUAGAGCAGUAGAGUGCUCCAGGUCGUUAAAAAUGGUUUUGUGUCUCAAUGUCUUAAUUCUCUUAUCUUCUCAUCAGUCAAAAUACUUACAAGAAAUGAGAAUGUUUAGAUUUUUGUAUUUGCAUAAAUAAAUACUAGAAGGAAAAAUAAGGAAUUCAUUAAAACGGUUAUCAGUAUUGACGGUAGAUGCAGGGUAAAGGGGAAGGAAUGGGAGCAGGAUUUCCUUAUGUAUAAUUUUAAUUUUAUUUUGACUUUAGAAACAGGUAAAUGUAUUACCUGCUUCAAACUGAUGGAUGGACAGACAGAAAGAGCAGCAAACCAACAAGCCUCCAGCUCUCAGGCCUCUCACCUCUGGCCUUGCAUUUUCUUAAGUGUGGGUCAGCGUUAUAAGGAAAUCAGACAAAAAUACAGGAGAUGGAGUUUUGCUCUGUCACCCAGGCUGGAGGGCAAUGACACCACCAUAGCUCACUGGAGCCUGGAGCUCCUGGGCUCACAUGAUCCUCCCACCUCAGCCUCCCAGGUAGCUGGGACUACAGCCACACACCACUGUGGUGGGCUCACAGGUGGUGUCAGGACUGAAGUGAACUCACUGUAGGACGCCCAGCUGGUUUCCAAGAAUUGGUCGAUGUGGGAGAAACGCCCCGCUUUGGUGUCAGAAGUGUUGUCUCUCAGUAAAUUAUGGAGACUACUGCAAAAUUCAAUAAAUGCUCGCACCGGAAAGGACAGUGGAAAAUCCCAAACUUUUAAAGCUUGCCCAGGAAUAGGAAAGCUUUCUUCCAGGCGAUCCAAGGACCAGCCUCCGUAAGACCAGGACCCAAACUUCAGUUUGCAGUGCUGCACAUCAAAGGGAAACCAGCGUACAUCGAUGUAGCAGGAACUCUUGAAUAUGCCUGUGUGGGUGAUGGAAACAGAAGACUGAAACGGAAGCUGACUGAGAUGUGCUGAAAAUACACAGCAGUUCCUUCAGCCGGUUCCGCCCUCCGCACUGCAGCUAACACAGUCCAGAGCAAACGGAAUCUGUCUUUUUAUUUAUUCGCAAAAUCUGUAAAACAGAAUCUCAGCUAAGCUUCACUGUCUUUUAAAAUCCAAACGUAACACUGACAUGCUCUCUCAAAGACUGUUUUGUGGGCUUUUUGUGCAAAAAGUUAGCUCUAUAAUCUGCAUUUACCAUGAGCAUCUUCAGACUCUAAAUAAUAAAAGUAAAGAAUGCAAAAUAUCUCAGAGAAGUUGAUAACCCUGAUGAUGAAGUUAGAAAUAGAAUCUAAAAGGUGUGUGUGUGUGUGUGUGUGUGUCUGUUUGGUGCGGGGUGAGGUAGGCAUUUUCUUUAGGUUAAAAAUGGGAAGAACAACACAUGAUUAUCGAGAAAUACAAUCUAGAAUUCUGGUUAAAGCUAGAAUUUUAACUAAUUUAAAUUCUAGAUGAAGAACAGAACAAGCUGGGCACAGUGUCUCAUGCCCGUAAUCCCAGUGACUCUAAGACAUUGACGUGGGAGGGUCACUUGAGACUAGGAGUUUGAGACCGGACUGGGCAACAUAGUGAGACAUCUCUAAUAAAAAAAAUUAGCUGGGUGAGGUGAUGCAUGCCUGUAGUCCCAGCUACUCAGAAGGCUAAGGCAGGAGCAUUGCUUGAGCCCAGGAGUUUGAGGCUAAAGUGAAGUGAGCUAUGAUCGAGCCCCUGCACUCCAGCCUGGGGAACACACCUAGAAUCUGUCUGUAAGAAAAAAAGUUAAAACAAACAAACAAACAAACAAACAAAAACAAGAACAGAUAGAUAGGUUUAAGCUGAAGAGAUGGUGCUUGAAGGAAGAGUUUCCGCUGAAAAGAGCUAUUCCAGGCUAGGACAGGUUGGAAGUGGAUUUCCCAGAGGGCCAAGGGGAGGAAACCAGAUAGAGGCCACUCCAGUUAUUUACACUCAUGUGCUCUUCCCUGCCCAGAGGAAGGCUGCAUGGCACAAGAAGACAGGCACAGACUCGGUGUCCAGGUGUUCCUGGGGCAGGGCUGGCACUCUGCAAACUUCUGUUACUGAGUUACAGAAAGAGUGCACGCAGGAAGGGCCUCCACAGCCUUGCACACAAGGACCCCACCCCACAACCGAGUUGGGAAAAGAUACACAUUUUGUCCCCUGAAGUUCCUUUAAGUAUGCUUUGCGUCCUUACAUGAAAUGUUUAUAGGAAUCUGGAAUCAUCACAGACAAUCCCCCUCCAUUAAUAGUUGGAUCCCCCCAAAACCCACCUUGUCUGCCAGUUAGUUGGAAAGCUUUGUAACUUCAUGAGCCCAUUUCUACGAAAUAAUGGCCCGAGACAGACAGAGAAUUUCUAGAGACAGAAAGCAGAUCAGUGGUUGCUGGGAGUAGGAAUGGGAAUUAACUGCAAACAAGCAAAAGGGAUCUUUGUGGGGUGAUGGGAAUGUUCUAAAACUAGACUGUGGUAAUGGUUGCAUAAGUCUGUAAAUAUACUAAAAGUUGUUGAAUCAUGUACUUAAAAUGCAUGAUAUGUAAAUUCUCUCUCAAUAAAGCUGUUAAAAAAUAAA